ACAAGCGGUGGAGCAUGUUGUUUAAUUCGAAGCAACGCGAAGAACCUUACCAGGUCUUGACAUCCCGAUGCUAUUUCUAGAGAUAGAAGUUACUUCGGUACAUCGGUGACAGGUGGUGCAUGGUUGUCGUCAGCUCGUGUCGUGAGAUGUUGGGUUAAGUCCCGCAACGAGCGCAACCCCUAUUGUUAGUUGCCAUCAUUCAGUUGGGCACUCUAGCGAGACUGCCGGUAAUAAACCGGAGGAAGUGGGGAUGACGUCAAAUCAUCAUGCCCCUUAUGACCUGGGCUACACACGUGCUACAAUGGUUGGUACAACGAGUUGCGAGUCGGUGACGGCGAGCUAAUCUCUUAAAGCCAAUCUCAGUUCGGAUUGUAGGCUGCAACUCGCCUACAUGAAGUCGGAAUCGCUAGUAAUCGCGGAUCAGCACGCCGCGGUGAAUACGUUCCCGGGCCUU
rnacentral:rRNA from 1 species